rnacentral:rRNA from 1 species
UACGUAGGGUGCGAGCGUUAAUCGGAUUUACUGGGCGUAAAGAGCUCGUAGGCGGUUUGUCGCGUCUGCCGUGAAAGUCCGGGGCUCAACUCCGGAUCUGCGGUGGGUACGGGCAGACUAGAGUGAUGUAGGGGAGACUGGAAUUCCUGGUGUAGCGGUGAAAUGCGCAGAUAUCAGGAGGAACACCGAUGGCGAAGGCAGGUCUCUGGGCAUUAACUGACGCUGAGGAGCGAAAGCAUGGGGAGCGAACAGG